AACUCUUCAUAACAGGUCUUUGUUACCAAGUAACUUUACUUUUGCACGUUUCAGCCGAGAGGUAGAAGAGAAUAUUUUUGCAUUUUCCAUGUGCGUCAGUGGUAGAGAACUAGGAAUUAGUUCCGGAUGGUAGGGCACAAAUCUUCCAAACAACUAUCCGAAAUUAAGCAAUCGAGAUAAAGGGUGCCAUCUAUUCUCUCCGAAAAACACAGGUACCAAAAAGAAGAAGAGAAGAGGGAGGGCCUCCCGUUAAGGCCCGCUCGGGGUCUCCAUCCCACCACGCGCCCUCCCAACCCAAAGCCCAUCGUUUUCCCUCCGUCCCUCCCCUCUCCAUUGCCGCCGCUGCUCCCCUCAUCCGAGCUCGAUACGGGUGGUCGGCGGCCCCUCCUCUCCGCUCCCGCCCCCGGCCUCCCUUUGACCGCCGGGCGCCGGCAUCACUGCCGCGGCCAACCCCAGGGCGCAGCGCGUGCCUCUAUUUCUCUCCCCCGUUCAAGGGCCCUUUGAUGGCGACGAGCACCCACCCACCAGGUAUGCCCUCCCCUUCUCUUCCUAACCCUAAUAUAUUCGGAUCUCACCCAGUCACAAUAUAUUACCUAAUAGCUUCGAUUUUGUUUGCAAAAAUCAUCACGUGCGCACCCAUGUCCGCUAGAUUCUUGCGCCUGAUCCUGUGCUGCUAUGGUUUGGGCGGGGUAGACUAGUUGAUUCGUGCACUUUUGGGUGCUUGUAGUGCUAGGUUUUGGAGGGGGAUAGCCCAGUUGAUUCCUCCGUUUUGGGUGCUCAUGGUGAUAGGAUUUGGAUGGGGAUAGCCCCAAUGAUUCGUGCGCCUUUGGGUGCUGGGGAUAGUUUUGGGUGCCUGGAUAGUCCAGUUUCAAUGUCAGUAUAUGCGUAUUUUGGGGAGAAUUUUGUUUUGGGUGGUUCUGGUGCUAGAGUUUCUGAUGCUUAGUAGCCCAGUUUCAAUCAAAUUCCCCCAUGGGUCGUGCACUACGGGAAACAAGAAAAUUGCCGAGUGUAUUUUUUUUGCCGAGUGUUUUUUUUCCGAGCACUCAGCAAACAAGCUUCGCCGAGCGCCAAGUCAAAAACCCUCGGCAAAAAAAAAACACUCGGCAAAUCGGGGCUUUGCCGAGUGUCAAAUAAAAACACUCAGCAAAGAAGGGGGUUUGCCGAGUGUUAAAAAAAACACUCGGCAAACAGGAGGGUUUGCCUAGUGUUUUUUUGACACUCGGCAAAAAAAUAAUUGUUUUUCCUCUUUUCACCUUGAAAUUUUUUCUACUCCCCACAUACAACACGUGGUACUCCAUGUUAAAAUUUGGUAUAUUUUUGGAUUUAUUUGCUAUAUUUAUUUAAUUAAUUGCAUUUCAAGGAAAUUUUUGGUAUAAGUCAAAUUUGAACUGCAAGUGAUUCAAAUUGUGGAACAAAAUGAGUAGAAAAAUGAUAUUCAUGUUAUUUGGCUCAAUUUGAGAUCUGACCCAUGAAAUGAAAAGAAGUUUCGAACAUCUUGUUCAGGAAACACGACAAUGAACAUGUGGCGGUAGUAUUUUUAAAUUGUAAAAAAACAAGCAAAGUCUGAAAAUCAUGAGAUUUGUAGUUAUGUGAUGAUAUAAUACGUGGAAGCUGUGGAAAAAAAUUGGAAAGGUUUUGCACAUUUCAUCAUGUACGAUGAUUACAAACCGAAGCAUAUCAGAAGAAGAAUAGUAACUUUGAGAAGGAUUCGAUAAAAUUUAGAGUCGAAGUGACGGUCGAGUUCGGUUUGACUACAAAACUUUUUGUAUAGUCAGUAGAGAACAUAUCUUAUUUCGUGUGAAAAUUUGGUAUUUUUUGAAACUGUUGGAUAUUUUUAAUUUUUUUUUUAAAAAACUUGCCGAGUGUUUUCUCGGCACUCGGCAAAGACUUUGCCGAGUGCCCGACACAAAACACUCGGCAACUCAGUGUUUGCCGACUGAAAAAUUGCCGUGUGCCGUUUGCCGAGUGUUACACUCGGCAAACGGUUCGCCGAGGGUUUUUUGCCCUUCGCCGAGUGCCCCUAGCACUCGGCAAUUUCACUAUCUCCCGUAGUGGUGGCUGGACUUAUGGGGGGAUCAUUGAUGGGGGACUAGUUGGAUACUUUUUGGCUGUUUUGGGAGUCCUUGGCAGCGGCUUCUCAGGGCGUACGUAGCCCAUUGUAGAUUCCAGCCGAGAAGAUUAAGGAAUUGUGACUGCAACCAUGUUACUUUUCUAGGACUCUGUUUCUGAUAUUGUUCCCGCUGCAUCUUUUCAUCCCCAUGGUGAAUGUUGCUGUUGAUCUGUAGAUUGGAUUUGUUCCUCGGUAGCUUUAUUAGAUUUGUGCUGAAUGAUAAUCUCUGCCUGUGAUAUUUUUCUUCAUUGCGGAUGUGUGCCGAGUAUAUCCCCUUUGUUCAUUCUGUUGGCUUUUUUUAUUGUCUCUGUACUCGGCUGUUCAGCUUGUGCAGCUAAUGAUCUAAUGUAUUUUGUGGUAACUAUGUAUUUUUCGGAUGUGUGCCGAGUAUUAUCCCCUUUGUUUAUUCUGUUGGCUUGCUUUCAUUGAUCUUAAGAUAACUGGUGCUAUAAAUUCACACUAGCUGAUGCACUUGCAAAUAGCUAUGUAAAUAUGAAAAGAAGUAUUUUUUUAUCCUUUUGUUUGUUUGGCAUCAUAUCUGUUUAAAUGGCAUAGCAAUAAGAAUUUUUUGUUUUUGGGGAAUCAUAUCUGCUUAAAUGGUAUAGAAAAUGCUGAGUGCACUGUCAAAUAGAUUUUCCAGCAGUCUGCUUUCAGUUGUUUUUGCAAAUCCUCACAGGCCAGUGAACUGACUUUGUUUUUACCACCCCAUGCCAUCUAAAUGACUAAAUCAGUCAGCCUAAUACUAUAUAUGGUCAUGCUAUGAUCUUAUUUCUUGAAGCUCUAUAGGUCAACCCAUAAGGGUAACUUAGUUUUUCCUAUUCUGGCUGGGGAAGUGGAUACGAUGGCUAUCCUUGGUAGAGUUAAAUACAUUGGCGGCUCUUAGCGCGCCAAUGUGGCACCACAAUAUCGAACAUAUGUAGAAACCCCCUUGUUUUUUCUCAUAUCCCUCUCUCUCAGCGUCCUCUUCUCUUCUUCUCCUCUGUCUCCUCCCCUCCCAUCGCGUGCUUUAUUGCGCCGCCGCCAUCCGCCUCCAUGUAUGAACACGUCGUUUGUCAUGAAGAAGCAGUUGAUGAGGCAAUCAAGCAUGUGGUGCACAAGGUUCUUCUGCUGGCCAAGUCCGAGUCGAACAGCCGCGCAUUCAUUGGGGAAGCACGCGCCAGGCAUCACCAGGCUCCUCGUGCCCCUACUCUGCUCCAAGGACUCGGUGCUUCGACGCGCUGCUUUCCCUGUCCGGCGAGCGGGGAUCGUUGGGAGAUGAUCGAUGGAGGAUGGAGCUGAUCCUCCUGUACACGGUGCCGGUGGGGAGCAGGGAGCUGCGGAGCAGGUCCACGGGCGGCGCCAUUACAGCAGGUGCAGGCUAAGGGUAAUGAGCAGAUCGAGGCGAUGGAGGAGGACCCGCACGAGGUGCAGCUUCUUCGCCUCCUGCGCAAGGUCAGCGCCCAAGCAGCCGCUGAGGGACAGGCCGAGGCUUAGCUCGAUCUCAUCCGACUAAAUGGUGGCUGCACUCCCACAGUCCCACUGGUGCUCCUCCCUUCUGUCCGAACCUGCCGAGGAAAUCCCUCGAUGCCAUGGGUCCCGGCUGGACGACUACUCCUCCCACAGAUUGACUGAGGAAGAAGAGCUUCUCAGUGUCCAAAAAUUCAGUUACACUGGAAACAGCAACCAAUUACGUCCUUCCGGCUCAGCCAAGCCCCAAUCUCCUUGCUUCUGUGCGCCCCUGCUAAAUAUUCCAGAAACCAAUCUGGUUAGUUGUUUUUUCACAUUUUCAGUGCAUGCCGGUGCUGCUGUGUGCGGCAUGCAUGGAGUUGUCGUGGGAGUGCACGGUGGCUUAGCUGGUGCGCCAGUGCGCGGGCACGAACACAACGGUGAAGAUGGCAGGGCCAUCUCAAAGCUCCUGAGCACCUGCACGCGUCGCUGAGCAGGACAUGCUGCGACGGUGGGCGAGCGCUGCUAACGCCCUGGGGAAGAGCAGUGGGUGCAGAGAGAGGGAGCGAGGGAGAGGGGUUCUUGUAUAUGUUUGCUAGCGUGGCACCGUUUACGGUGCCCGCCUAAGUGGCAUUCACGUGUCAUUCAUCCCAAAUGGUGUUGCAAGGUUGAACCUAUUGUGGGAGGCUUUUGGUUUCCCUUGACCAAGUAUCACCAGUGAUAUCACUGCGUUCUGGUUAUGUACGAAACACUUGUCCUUUUAAAACCUUUCUGAAUUUAGAAACGAAUUUGAAACAUUACCCUCAUUUCCAUGUUUUUCUAUCUUUUGUCCCUGUAAAAUCAAACUAAAUUUGAAUUAUUAUGUUCAGAACUACAAGCUGAUUUACUUGUCCCAUUUGCUAAUAACAGGGCCUUGUGAUUUCUAAUGAACAUUGCAGAGCAUGUUAUAAAGCGUAUGCAUGAACACCAAGGGGAUGAAACCAUUGGUAUAUUUCUCAUAACCUUUUGAACUUAUCAUUUAGCAUAUUUGUGUUCUAGUGUGACGUUUCAGCCACGAGACAUGAGAAAUGUUAGCUAUGGAUUUUGGUUAUUCAUCAUGGGUUCACAGAUUUGUUUUUCUCUAAAAGAAUUGGGAAGUAGCUUUCUUUCUGGGUAUAUGUGGGGAAAUGCAUAUGCAAUCUUUUAUUUAUUGAGGUGACUGUAAAAUUCUUGUCUGACUGAAUAUGCGAUUUCAACCUACAUGCUAUACUUAGGGAAAUUUGUGAAUCUCCUAAUGUCUGCUGCAUGGCAUGAAUGCAUAUUUUACUGGUCCAUAAUGUGAAGUUCUGUAUAUAAACUUCUCGUGUUGACCCUUUAGAACAUGCUAACUGGAGAGUUUUCUAGAGUAGUUAAACAAGAGAUUUAGUUAAAUCUGCACACAUAGGUGGGGCCUGGCAUACCCUAAGAAUCGGCCUAGCCGGCCAGCCCAUUAGUAAAAAAAAAAGCACCGCAGUCAGCAGUCCCCACGUUGGUCUUCCUCGAGUCGCGACUCGCGAAGAUCCCAUCCUCCGAGUCCAAGAUGGUGGACUGUGUCGAGCGCGGGGCGGGCGAUUAGUUGCCCGGCCGCCGGCGGGGGAUGGCCGGACGGCCAGAUCGCCGACUCCUCUAGUCCUCCCUCCAGCCUCUGCGCUUCUUUCACAGUGGAGCUAGCGGCGAGGCGCCCGACCGACACCCUUCUUCCCAAAUCCCGGCAGCCCUGCCUCGAUUUGGCCUCCUCCGAUCAUUUGAUAAUCAAUUUGAUGAAAUUAAUAUGGAGUUGCUUUCUUGUAUGGUUGCCUUCAAUCCUGCUAAUUCAUUUGCUUCAUUUGAUGCACAAAAGAUACACAGACUUGCUAUAUUUUUAUCCACAAGACAUCACAAGCACGGAUUUGCUAAAACUUGAAUUCCAGCUCGAUAUUAUAUUGAUGAUGUGAGAUAGGAUGAUAGUUUCAAAGGCCUACAAGAUCUUGUUAACUGAGACUCAGUUAAGCUUGUUGAAACAAACAGGCAUAAUAUUUAUGACUUGGUUUACUUGCUUCUCAAAUUGGUAUUGGUUCUUCCUGUGGCGACAGCUAGUGUUGAAAGGGAUUUUUGUGCAAUGACUUUGAUCAAGAGUAAGCUAAGAAAUAAGAUGGGUGAUAGUCUUUUGGAUGAUUGUCUUAUCACAUUCAUUGAGAAAGAUAUUUUCUUUGAAGUGGAUGAAGAAGAUAUAAUUAAGACUUCAUAUCCAUUAGAAAUCAUAGGCUGGAGAAGAAGUAAUAUUUUAAUUUUCUUUGAACGUUAGGUCUGUAAGCUUCUUUUAAACUAUCUACAUUAUAAUUUAUGGACCUUUUAAUUUAACCGUUGAAUUCAUGAUAUUAUGAGAUUUUUUUAUCUAUGUUAUUAUUGUUUACCGAUUUAUUACCAAAUUAUUAGUUUGAUCUUACAAUAUUGUAUUUUGGAUGAUUGGCUCGGCAUACUCUAAGUUUAAAUCCUAGCUCCGCCACUGUUUGCACAUUAAUGUGGCUUAUAUGUGUGGAGUCACUUAACCUAUGCACUUGGACCUCCACUCCCUUAGGUUUUAUGAACCUAAUUUGACAGCCUGCUCGUCUUUUAUUUUCUACCAAUCAGCUAGGAACGAACAUGGUGAUGUUUGCAUCUCUUGCAUCAAUGGCUUACAUGUCAUUAUGUAUCACAUUAGCAAGUCUUGUUUUGUUAUUGGCUGGGAUGACGGGGACUCUAGCUGGAAUUGAAUCAAAGUGGUAGAUCACAGGGUAUUCAUUGCCAUGUAUUUCUGCAGUUGCAUGGACUUGCAUCAAACGGACCUUCCUACUUAUGUGAUUGUCCUAUAUGAUCUCCUUUGAUUUCAUUUGCACACUGUAAUCACAUUAGCUAGAACACUCGCUUUUUGCUUCAAAUUUGAAAUUCAUAUCAUGAUGGACUAGAACGCUGAAUUUCUUGAUUGCUGAGUUACUAAUCACAUUGUGGCGCUGCCAAAGAAGCUGGACUCUUCAUUGUUGUUGCCUUGUGGGCUGCCGUGUGCAAAGAACAAGAGCGCACGGUAUUAUAAUAGCAGAGCUGAACACAGACAAGCGACAAGGAGCGGAGCAGAGCAGAGCACAGCCAAGCACAAGCAGUAGAGUAGAGCAGAGCAACCGGGAGAGGAGAGGGCACAUAUGCAGAGUAGAGCAGAGCCAAGCGCAAGCAUUCAUGCACUCAAGCAUGCAGCAGAGGUGUAGCAAGGCAAGCACAAGCAGCAGAGCAGAGGGAAGGGAAGGCUGGGAGAUGAAUAGGCGAAUAGUUACCUGGACAGAGCAGAGGGAAUGGAGAUGAUGCAGAUGCUUCCGGAGACUGGAGAUUUGGAGAGGAACAAGGCCACGUUGUGAACAAGGUCUCCUUUCUCUUCUCUAUUUCCCGCGCAAGUACUUGUGCAUAGUGGCUGCCUCAUCCUCCAGGACGCCCACUUCAACCUGAGGCGGGUGCCACAGACAUCCUGGCUAUGCGACGGCUACCCCCAGCACACCCCCAGCGCCUAUGAACCAUGAUCCUAAUACUAUAAAUUGUCAACCUUGUAAUCUUAUUUCAAGCAUGCUUUCUAUGUCAACCUGUAAGGUUAAUUUCGUUUUUCCUUUUCUGGGUAGGGGAGUGGAUAUUGCUGUUAUUUAUAUUAUGUUGAUAUUGGUUUCCACAUGUCAUUCACCCCAAAUGUGUUGCAAGGUUGAACCUAUCAUCGGAGGAAUUUUUUUCCCUUUACCUUUAUAUCACUACGCUCUGGUUAUGUAUGAAAC
rnacentral:lncRNA from 1 species